rnacentral:lncRNA from 1 species
CUUCUGUCUAUGUCACACACUAAGGAUGAGUUAAUGGAAAAUACUGGCUUUGAUAGAAGUGCAUUGUUUUGGUCAAAACAUCUAUCAGAACAGACAGAAGGUUUUGACAGUGCCAAAAAACAUUUAUAAACUUUCAAUUCAGUAAAGAAUUACUAGCUAUUUAACAUUCCAAUGGCUUACGUGGAUCCAAACUGACAACAGAAAAACUCAAUGACAGGUCGAGUUACGGCCUUCUAAUUAAGUUUUAGGAUUACAGUCAAACCUGAUUAAACUGGACCCUGAAUAAACCGGUUUCCUGUCCAUUCCGACCGAAAAUGAAAGACCCAUAUUUUUCCAUUCAAAGUCUUUGUUAAAAUACCCUUUGUAAACCAGACCC